rnacentral:rRNA from 1 species
GUCUCAUUCGGAUUGGAGUCUGCAACCCGACUCCAUGAAGCUGGAUUCGCUAGUAAUCGCGCAUCAGCCAUGGCGCGGUGAAUACGUUCCCGGGCCUUGUACACACCGCCCGUCAAGCCAUGGGAGCCGGGGGUGCUUGAAGUGCGUCGCCGCAAGGCGCGCCCUAGAGCAAAACCGGUGACUGGGGCUAAGUCGUAACAAGGUAUC